UACAGAGGUCCCAAGCGUUGUUCGGAUUCAUUGGGCGUAAAGGGUGCGUAGGCGGCGCGGUAAGUCGGGUGUGAAAUCUCGGAGCUUAACUCCGAAACUGCGUUCGAUACUGCCGUGCUUGAGGACUGGAGAGGAGACUGGAAUUUACGGUGUAGCGGUGAAAUGCGUAGAUAUCGUAAGGAAGACCAGUGGCGAAGGCGGGUCUCUGGACAGUUCCUGACGCUGAGGCACGAAGGCCAGGGGAGCAAACGGG
rnacentral:rRNA from 1 species